AAUGGGCGCAAGCCUGACGGAGCGACGCCGCGUGAGGGAUGAAGGCUUUCGGGUUGUAAACCUCUUUUGCAGGGGAAAAAGGUACAUGUGCUCAUACCACGUGUAUUUGAUGGUACUUUGCGAAUAAGCCCCGGCUAACUACGUGCCAGCAGCCGCGGUAAUACGUAGGGGGCGAGCGUUGUCCGGAGUUACUGGGCGUAAAGGGCGUGUAGGCGGUUGGAUAAGUCUGGUGUGAAAUUCUCUGGCUUAACCAGGGAGCUGCGCUGGAAACUGUCUGACUGGAGUUCGGUAGGGGUCACUGGAAUCCCCGGUGUAACGGUGAAAUGUGUAGAUAUCGGGGGGAACACCUGUGGCGAAGGCGGGUGACUGGGCCGCAACUGACGCUGAGACGCGAAAGCGUGGGGAGCAAA
rnacentral:rRNA from 1 species